GGGUGUAUAGCUCAGUGGUAGAGCAUUCGAUUGCAGAUCGAGAGAUCCCGGUUCGAACCCGGGUGUCCUCU
rnacentral:tRNA from 1 species